UUUCCGUAGGGUGAGUAAAUCUAUUUAUCUCAACUUGCUUUAACACCAUACUAACGUUUUACAGUGACCCUGCGGAAGGAUCAUUAAAGAGUUAGGGUCUUUUGGCCCGAUCUCCCACCCUUUGUUGUCAAAAAGCUUGUUGCCUCGGCGUGUAGAUCAAUCAUCCCACGCCAGAGGAUCAGUUUAAACCCUUUUGAAACCGUCAGUCAGAGUUGAUUAUCACAAUAAAUCAAAACUUUCAACAACGGAUCUCUUGGUUCUGGCAUCGAUGAAGAACGCAGC
rnacentral:misc_RNA from 1 species